rnacentral:rRNA from 1 species
AUUGAACGCUGGCGGAAUGCUUUACACAUGCAAGUCGAACGGCAGCACGGGGCAACCUGGUGGCGAGUGGCGAACGGGUGAGUAAUACAUCGGAACGUGCCCAAUCGUGGGGGAUGACGUAGCGAAAGUUACGCUAAUACCGCAUACGAUCUACGGAUGAAAGCGGGGGAUCGCAAGACCUCGCGCGAAUGGAGCGGCCGAUGUCAGAUUAGGUAGUUGGUGGGGUAAAGGCUCACCAAGCCAACGAUCUGUAGCUGGUCUGAGAGGACGACCAGCCACACUGGAACUGAGACACGGUCCAGACUCCUACGGGAGGCAGCAGUGGGGAAUUUUGGACAAUGGGCGCAAGCCUGAUCCAGCCAUUCCGCGUGCAGGAUGAAGGCCUCGGUU